rnacentral:rRNA from 1 species
GACGAACGCUGGCGGCGUGCUUAACACAUGCAAGUCGAACGGAAAGGCCCUGCUUUUGUGUGGUGCUCGAGUGGCGAACGGGUGAGUAACACGUGAGUAACCUGCCCUUGACUUUGGGAUAACUUCAGGAAACUGGGGCUAAUACCGGAUAGGAUCUCCUGCUGCAUGGUGUGGGUUGGAAAGUUUCGGCGGUUGGGGAUGGACUCGCGGCUUAUCAGCUUGUUGGUGGGGUAGUGGCUUACCAAGGCUUUGACGGAUAGCCGGCCUGAGAGGGUGACCGGCCACAUUAGGACUGAGAUACGGCCCAGACUCCUACGGGAGGCAGCAGUGGGGAAUAUUGCACAAUGGGCGGAAGCCUGAUGCAGCAACGCCGCGUGCGGGAUGACGGCCUUCGAGUUGUAAACCGCUUUCGCCUGUGACGAAGCGUGAGUGACGGUAAUGGGUAAAGAAGCACCGGCUAACUACGUG